rnacentral:lncRNA from 1 species
AAACUUGGGGAACUUCAUAAUAUUGUGGGAGGAGUCAUUUGCUGGGUUUUAAGUGAAAUCCAAUCUCUAGAACUAUACAAUACACCAACCACCCCAUUUCAGAACGAACUUCGUACGUACCUGAAUUGUCCGAUUUCAAGGACCAAUCGAUAUCGGAUUGAGUCCAAAACUUAGGGAACAUCAUAAUAUUGUGGGAGGAGUCAUUUGGUGGGUUUUGAGUGAAAUCCAAUCUCUAGAACUAUACAAUACACCAACCACCCCAUUUCAGAACGAACUUCGUACGAACCUGAAUUGUCCGAUUUCAAGGACCAAUCGAUAUCGGAUUUAGUCCAAAACUUGGGGAACACCAUAAUAUUGUGGGAAGGAGUCAUUUGGUAAGUUUUGAGUGAAAUACAAUCCUAGAACAAUACAAUACACCAACCACUCCAUUUCAGAACCGAACUUUCGUGCGAACUUUGAAUGUCAAAUUUCGUGGACCGAUCGAUAUCGGAUUAGAGUCCAAAACUUGGGGAACAUCAUAAUAUUGUGGGAGGAGUCAUUUGGUGGGUUUUGAGUGAAAUCAAAUCCCUAGAACUAUACAAUACACCAACCACUCCAUUUCAGAACGAACUUGGUACGAACCUGAAUUAUCAAAUUUCGUGGACCGAUCGAUAUCGAUUUGAGUCCAAAACUUGGGGAACAUCGUAAUAUUGUGGGAGGAGUAUUUGGUGGGUUUUGAGUGAAAUCCAAUCUCCAGAACUAUACAAUACACCAACCACCCCAUUUCAGAACGAACUUCGUACGAACCUGAAUUGGCCGAUUUCAAGGACCAAUCGAUAUAGGAUUGAGUCCAAAACUUGGGGAACAUCAUAAAAUUGUGGGAGGAGUCAUUUGGUAUGUUUUGAGUGAAAUCCAAUCUCUAGAACUAUACAAUACACCAACCACCCCAUUUCAGAACGAACUUCGUACGAACCUGAAUUGUCCGAUUUCAAGGACCAAUCGAUAUAGGAUUGAGUCCAAAACUUGGGGAACAUCAUAAAAUUGUGGGAGGAGUCAUUUGGUGGGUUUUGAGUGAAAUCCAAUCUCUAGAACUAUACAAUACAUAAACCACCCCAUUUCAGAAGGAACUUCGUACGAACCUGAAUUGUCCAAUUUGAAGGACCAAUCGAUAUCGGAUUGAGUCCAAAACUUGGGGAACAGCAUAAUAUUGUG